GGCACCAAGGGUAGGAAGAACAACACUGUGGUUUUGGUCCCUGCUCUCAUGGAUCUAUGGACACACUGUGACUGCAUCUUUAUGAAAGCUAUAGAUCGAUGAAUAUAAAACUGCACAGAGUACUCCGGUUGAGAUGAGUGCACAGGUGGUUCAUACCAGAAUGGUCAUCAUAUUCCAACUCACCGGCUGCCAUGACUGGUUCAGGGAUGAGCCUAUG